rnacentral:rRNA from 1 species
GAGUUUGAUCGUGGCUCAGAACGAACGCUGGCGGCGUGGAUAAGACAUGCAAGUCGAGCGCGAAUUCUGGUGUAGCAAUACAUCAGAGUUUGAGCGGCGCAAGGGUGCGUAACACGUGGGUAAUUUGCCGUGAAGUUGGGGAUAACUCGCUGAAAGGCGAGCUAAUACCGGAUGUGGUUAUUGGAUGGCAUCAUUUGGUAACUAAAGCUGGGGAUCGUAAGACCUGGCGCUUCAUGAUAAGCCCGCGGCCUAUCAGCUAGUUGGUGAGGUAACGGCUCACCAAGGCGAAGACGGGUAGCUGGUCUGAGAGGACGACCAGCCACACUGGAACUGAGACACGGUCCAGACACCUACGGGUGGCAGCAGUCGAGAAUUUUUCUCAAU